rnacentral:rRNA from 1 species
UACGGAGGGGGCUAGCGUUGUUCGGAAUUACUGGGCGUAAAGCGCGCGUAGGCGGCUUAGCAAGUUAGAGGUGAAAGCCCGAAGCUCAACUUCCGAAUUGCCUUUAAAACUGCAAAGCUAGAAUCAUGGAGAGGUGAGUGGAAUUCCGAGUGUAGAGGUGAAAUUCGUAGAUAUUCGGAGGAACACCAGUGGCGAAGGCGGCUCACUGGCUCGGUACUGACGCUGAGGUGCGAAAGCGUGGGGAGCAAACAGG